rnacentral:lncRNA from 1 species
UAGCCUCACGCCAUUUCGAACAUGACUUGGCCCACAUGGCCUUCCGCCACAGGGCAGGAUGCUAGCUCAUUUAAGCCAACAAUCCCCCCUCCAGCACCUGCACACAUUUGCAGCAUGCAGAAAUCGAACCCGUGACCUCUGGCUCUGAUACCACUUGUCGGAUCGUUGGCGCUAACCAUUAAUCCCAAAAGCUCGAGCUGUUAGAAAUAUGCAACCAAUUCACUUAAAGCGUACAGAAACAGCGUCCAUGGGUCUCGAUUGUGACUCAGCCUACCUGGCCUCACGCCACUUCGAUCAUGACUCGGCCCAACCUAGCCUCACGUCAUUUCGAACAUGACUCGGCCCACAUGGCCUCCCGCCACAGGGCAGGAUGCUGGCCCAUUUAAGCCAACAGUUUUGACCCGUCAUAUGAUUCUACUACCUGAUUUAACUCUAGGAGCCGUGAUUUGAUUGUAUCACCGCUGUUUCAGCGCGGUGGAUACUCGGGGUAGUUUAGAAUGUAUUUACGCUCGUACUGGGACGCCGAGCUUAUUUUUACAGCAGAGUGUAGGUUGUUUCGGAUUGUCGGGUGCCGUCGGGGUGGACGGUGGACCCAGAUUCCUAUUUUUGGU